rnacentral:rRNA from 1 species
CAGCCGCCACGGUAAUACGUAGGGUGCAAGCGUUAAUCGGAAUUACUGGGCGUAAAGCGUGCGCAGGCGGUUAUAUAAGACAGAUGUGAAAUCCCCGGGCUCAACCUGGGAACUGCAUUUGUGACUGUAUAGCUAGAGUACGGCAGAGGGGGAUGGAAUUCCGCGUGUAGCAGUGAAAUGCGUUGAUAUGCGGAGGAACACCGAUGGCGAAGGCAAUCCCCUGGGCCUGUACUGACGCUCAUGCACGAAAGCGUGGGGAGCAAACAGGAUUAGAUACCCCGGUAGUCCCUGUCUCUUAUAC